GGACAGAUGGCCGAGCUGGUUAUGGCGCCAGGUUAAGGUAUUAGAUUAUCAUCUCCUGGUCACGAAAGUGGCGUGGGUUCGAGUCCCACUCUGUUCA
rnacentral:tRNA from 2 species